UGCGAUUACAAGCAUGCGCUACCACGCCUGGCCUUAUUCUUCUAAUUUAAUUUCCUCCUUGAACUUUAUAUUCGACAUUGAUACAGAUUAAAGGUAGAAGAAUCCAAAAUGGCUGUCUGUGUGCUGGAGAGCAGGGGAUCCAGCAGUUGCUCAUCCUGAGAAGAUAGAAGCUUCAGAAAAAGAGGAAUCAAAGAUGCAGGACCAGCUCAAGAUCUGCAGGCCUAGACACUCACUGAAGAGUCACCAGGGAGCAUCUAUAUUAGAAUGUUGAAGAAACUGGACACUAAUGUCCAAAGGAGACAGCAGCAAAGUACAAAUCUACACAAGAAGACUGGAGAAAUUAAAACUUCAGCACACCUCCUUCUUCUUUCCCUUUUCAUUCUAUCCAGACUACAAGCCUCUUGGUUGGAGCCAGCUACAACUGAGAUGGGUCUUCAUCCCCACCCCUAGUUUAUCGGCCUACAUGUUGGUAAUCUACAGGAUGAAGAUAAGCCCAGCCUCUAUGUAAGAUCAAAGCGUGCUAAAUUCUAAAACAUCACAGGUCUCAAGGCUGAGAAGUCCAAGAUCAAAGUAUCAGCAGAUUUAGUUUUUGCCUGUGAAGGUGCAAUGGAGGAUCUGUUCAUCAUUGCUCAUGUGCCGCUCCUAGUACUUUGCCUAAGUAAUAUUAACCAUGCAGC